AGGUCAGACAGUAGUGCCUGGCAGGUGCCUGGCUGAGCAGGAGCUCCCGGGAGGGCGUCCGUCCUCCUCUGUCCUCUGUCUACUCCCACCCCGAGGCUGACCUGACACAUCCCUCUCUACACCACCAUCCCACACCAGGCAGAGGGGACACCGUAGCCCCUGCCCGUGGCCCCUGCACCCGACGUCACCGACUCGUUCACCCGGCGAAUGAGGGUCACGUUGACGAGCCGCUGGGCAUCCUGGGUGUCUGCCCACCUGCAGGAUGGAGACACGCAGCAGCGGCAGGCCCUGCCCCCCAGACCCCCAAGCAUCCUGGGAUGAGGCACAAACCCAGCCUUGAGAUGAACCCCAAGCCAGGACGCUGCUGGAGCAACGGUCUGGAGGUGGAACCACUGAGGCGCAGCGAGUGUCUGCUGGGGAAGGAGGAGAAGGGAAACGGUCAGAGCAGCCACCCUGGAGCCUGGGGGCCUGGAGUGCCGUGCUGAGAAAUAUGGGCUGGGAAGCCAGACACACUCAGCUGGACUUUCCAGGACAGGAUGAGCAGGAAUGUGCAGGAGGAGGGAAGUGAAGGAAGCCCAGGGAAGGCCGGGGGAGAGACGAAGCAAGGGGAGCAGGAGGAGGGUGGGUGGGCAGGGUCCCGGGGGUAUGGUGCGGGCCUCCUCCAGGGUGCAGCAGUGAGGAGGGGGCAGGGAAGGGGUGGGAGCCACAGAACUCACCUUCUUCCCCUGCCAGGCUAAGCCCCCAGCACAGGGCCAGCAGGGCCAUGAGGAGCAGCUCCCAGGCCAGCACCAUUUUCCUGGUCAGCUCUGGACAGGCAGCUGUUAGAAAAGAGGAGUCCUUCUAUAUGAUCGCUCAGAGAGUGAAAACAAACACGCUUCCUGAGGCCUCCCCAAAAGCUGAGCAGAUGCCAGCACCAUGCUUCCUGUACAGCCUGCAGAACUGUAAGCCAAUUAAACCUCUUUUCUUUAU